rnacentral:sRNA from 1 species
CGACCCUUCCGGAGGCUAGAGGCUUCACGGGAUCAGCUUCGCCAGUUGUUCAAGGUGUGGCACAUUGGUUGACCUUUGCCAGGGCCCCCACCUUCGGCAUACUGGACAGAUUGGAGGACUGAAGCUGCUAUCGGCUGAGUAUGCCCAUCGUGGUUUCUCCGAGGUGAAAACUCCCACACUGUUUUCUACGAAGCUCUGGGAACAGUCAGGGCACUGGGAGCAUUAUCAGGAAGACAUGUUUGCCGUGCAGCCCCCAGGCUCUGACAGGCCUCCCAGCUCCCAGAGUGACGAUUCUACCAGGCAUAUCACAGAUACACUCGCCCUCAAGCCUAUGAACUGCCCUGCACACUGCCUGAUGUUCGCCCACCGGCCCAGAUCCUGGCGGGAACUGCCCCUGCGACUAGCUGACUUUGGGGCUCUACACCGGGCCGAAGCCUCUGGUGGUCUGGGGGGACUGACCCGACUGCGGUGCUUCCAGCAGGAUGACGCUCACAUCUUCUGUACAACAGAUCAGCUGGAAGCAGAGAUCCAAAGCUGUCUCGAUUUCCUCCGUUCCGUCUAUGCCGUUCUUGGCUUCUCCUUCCGCCUGGCACUGUCCACCCGGCCAUCUGGCUUCCUGGGGGACCCUUGCCUUUGGGACCAGGCCGAACAGGUCCUUAAACAGGCCCUGAAGGAAUUUGGAGAACCCUGGGACCUCAACUCUGGAGAUGGUGCCUUCUAUGGACCUAAGAUUGACGUGCACCUCCACGAUGCCCUGGGCCGGCCACAUCAGUGUGGGACAAUUCAGCUUGACUUCCAACUGCCCCUGAGAUUUGACCUCCAGUAUAAGGGG